GAACGCACAUUGCGCCUUAUGGUAGUCCGUAAGGCAUGCCUGUUCGAACGUCAUCAAACCCCCUCGAGUCCCCUGGCUUUGCGGCCACCGGAACCUCGGUCCUGCCCCUGGCGCAUCGGCUCUGCCGGUCCUCCUGGGCGAAAUCCAUUGUGCUGAUCCACGGGUCGCCAAAGCGUAGUAGGCCUAAACAGCUCUCGCCUGGCAUCAGAUCCGGUAGGCGUCACGCCGUCGCAACCCAAUUCCAAUCAGAGUUUGACUUCGGAUCAGGUAGGGAUACCCGCUGAACUUAAG
rnacentral:misc_RNA from 1 species